ACAGUUAUCCAAGAUGGCGGCUUUAUGCUGGUAAUGUAAAUGCUAGGAUUUGGAUGUUCCGCAGAAGAAACAUCUGUAGAAACUUUGUCGCAAAUAGCGCAAAAUGGCACAGGAAUUGUCACAAAUUUGCGGUAUUAAUGCUCGAAAGCACUUAAGAACGAAAAAAGCUGACCAGAAGAGGCACUAAGAAAAAAUCAGUGCUUAUUGCUCUCUACGUGUGCAUUAUAGUGAUGAGGUUGAACGCAUCGCAUGUUUUUAACAGGAUAGCAACCAACCUCAAACGAAUCGCCGCACCAAUAGAGGACUAUGUUAUUAUCUUAAUGAUGUCUUAAUGAUGACCUCAAGGAUGGAAAGGGCCGUGGAGCAUAAGAAAAGGAAAAAAUUUACCAAAGUCAUCUCGAAUUCAUAACUACCGGUAUUACGAAGAAAUCUUCAUUCUCUCACGAAGGAUUUGUGAGCACGACGUCUGGUCAGCAUAUUUCAAAGUAAACUAUAUUCAGAGGCAGAGUAAGAAUAAUAAAGUAAAAUGGAAAAGUCGAUGAAGCCCUAGCCUACGUGUAGUUGCUGACUCGCGAAAUCCUUCGCGAGUCAGCGGCUACACGUAGGCUAGUGGAGCCCAUUUGGGUGUAAUUAUCAAUUCAGCAGCAGCCAAAUUAAAAAAUGUCACUCACAGAGAGAAUUGUUGCAAGUUUAAACUUUGUAGAAACAAUCCUGGCCCUGUUAUUGAUUCCAUGAAAACAACAAUUGCAUCAUAUAGUGAAGGAAAUGUAGCAUUAUUUGGAUCAAAUUCUAAUCGCCAGUCUGUGGCUAUCAUAGCUGUCAACUCUCCCGCAUUAGGCGGGUGUCUCAAGAUUUUGAACCUUUUCUCAAGCCUGAUUUUCUUGAAAAUAUCCAUACUUUUACUGUAUUCAGCUAUCUUAAUGGUUCUGAUACAUUCACUGUGUUUUCUCAAGAUUUUUCCUAAAGCGGGGUUGACAGAUAUGGGCUAUGUCCUUGUGCCCUCAUGUAAGAUCAUAAUAAUCAAUUCUACCUCACUGUAUUUGGUCAAUAUCAUGAACUUUGGUAAUGAAUUGUAUACCAGUUUAUCAGGUUUAUCAAGACAAUAUCAUAUUUGAUGUUGACAGAAGUGCCUGAAAUCAAUCACAAUGUUUGACUAUCAGCUUCAAUAUAGUCCAAGCUAUACUGGCAGUAUACAUAGUAUGGUGACAGAAGGUUUUGAGUAUUCUACUGUAUGUCUUUUGAUAAUGUUUUACAGACAUUAUUAGAGAAAAGUACAGGUCUUUCAUUUUGACUGUUGGUUCAAAUACUGUGGCUAUUUAUUGUACUGCCGAUGGAAGAUUUAAAACAUUUGAUUCUCAUUCCAGAGAUUUGUUCGAUAUGGCCAGUUCUCUAGGAUCUUGUGUUUUGUUAGAGAUAUGAUCAUUAAAUGAUUUUAUAUACUAUUUCAGAGCUCUCUAUAAUAAUUCAAACUGCAUUUUAGCUAAAGGGUGUAAUGCAAAUUGAAGCAUCUGCCAAUACUAAUUAUAUUAACCAAUCAAUGCAUGGACAUGGAGUUUCCUAUCAUCAAUCAAAUGAUAAUAAGGGAUAAAAUCUAGAGGUUAGAAAACAUUUUUUGUAUUGUAAGAUGCUUCUGUGCUAUUUCUUCUUAUUCCAUUUGCUUUUCUGUUGUUACUGGAAUUCACAAACCCUAGAUGCAUUUGUUUAUUAUGGAAAUUAUUUAUAAGGUUCUAAACACUCCAUCUUUUACAGACUUCACCCCGCUAAACGCCUCCCAAUCGUCUUGUUUUUAAUUACACGUCAUGACAGUUGGUGUUAAGAGUAAUAAGUCAGACAUUAGCUGUCUUCACUAGUCUAUGUUCGGACAAUAGCCCGACUAAAAUCUUUCUCGCAAGAUCUUGUUGUUUGUCAUUUCUUAAUCAAUUUACCAAACAACCUCUGUUCCCAACGCCCUUGCAUAUGGCAAUAAGUUAGGCUCGAUUUCCAGCUUGUCUCUGUGAGCCCGCAGUACGUGGUGUGAGGCCUAGCGACGGCUGGAAAUAGAGCCUAGCAAUAAGUUUGGUACGAAUUUGUUAGCGAAAAAAAAUACUUUAUCGUGAAAAAUAAAACUUUAGAUCAUGUAA